rnacentral:rRNA from 1 species
GCGAACGGACGAGAAGCUUGCUUCUCUGAUGUUAGCGGCGGACGGGUGAGUAACACGUGGAUAACCUACCUAUAAGACUGGGAUAACUUCGGGAAACCGGAGCUAAUACCGGAUAAUAUUUUGAACCGCAUGGUUCAAAAGUGAAAGACGGUCUUGCUGUCACUUAUAGAUGGAUCCGCGCUGCAUUAGCUAGUUGGUAAGGUAACGGCUUACCAAGGCAACGAUGCAUAGCCGACCUGAGAGGGUGAUCGGCCACACUGGAACUGAGACACGGUCCAGACUCCUACGGGAGGCAGCAGUAGGGAAUCUUCCGCAAUGGGCGAAAGCCUGACGGAGCAACGCCGCGUGAGUGAUGAAGGUCUUCGGAUCGUAAAACUCUGUUAUUAGGGAAGAACAUAUGUGUAAGUAACUGUGCACAUCUUGACGGUACCUAAUCAGAAAGCCACGGCUAACUACGUGCCAGCAGCCGCGGUAAUACGUAGGUGGCAAGCGUUAUCCGGAAUUAUUGGGCGUAAAGCGCGCGUAGGCGGUUUUUUAAGUCUGAUGUGAAAGCCCACGGCUCAACCGUGGAGGGUCAUUGGAAACUGGAAAACUUGAGUGCAGAAGAGGAAAGUGGAAUUCCAUGUGUAGCGGUGAAAUGCGCAGAGAUAUGGAGGAACACC